CGUCACGGCCUCGCCGUUCGGACGGGUGGCGUCACAGGGGGCGGGUGGGAGCGCGGCCGCUCCGCCUGCCGGACCCUGCUCGGGCACGGCCCCAGCCCGGGGGCCGAGGGUGCGCCCGGGGCAGGGUGCGCGGGGAUGGCACUGACCUGGGCCGCUGGUCCCUCUGUGCCCGCGAUACCGGGGCACGGCCACCGUCCCGGGGCAGCCCCGGCGCCGCGUGCCCCUGGCGUCCCGCCAAGUCAGCUGCCCGGCCGGUCCCGCCGGGAAGGAGGAGCCGGCUGGGGGGACAGCUGGGGUGACUCAGCGCUUUGUCGGGGCGGGGGACGUGACGGGGCGCAGCCCUGCCAGACCGGCGGGCACAGGUCCCGGCCAGGAGCCUGAGCCGCCUGGCACCACUGUGGCACCGGCAGCCGGGACCGGCGGCCACCCCGAGCACCAGGGUACCCAGGCAUCCAGAGAACCGGAGGCCUGCACUGGGAAGCUCGUUGUGGACUUUUCACCUGCAUGACCCCUGCACAGGCAGCUGCUGCAGAGGGGCUGUACUCACCCAUCCUCAGCAUCCUGGGUGGUCUCACCUGGGGACACUCACCUGCACCCGUGAGUGUGUCCUGGCCACGGAGAUCCAUGAUUCCCUCUUGCUGUCUGGAUGGGAGAAGGAGGGAGCUUGAUCUCUCUGCAGGAAGGCCUCUUGGACCCUCUGCCACUCCAGCAUCACAGCUAGGAUAUCUUCCUCACCUCCCAUAAAUCCCUAGCUGGGAAGCCUGGCAGGAUGGAAAGGCCUGGAUGUUGAGACAGGACAUUCCCAGUGCUCCUCAGAGACCAGUUUCAGGACAGUCAUCCCUGAGAAGUGCCUUUCCCAGCCAUGAUCUGUGGGCCUGGGUCUGCCUGAAGUCCUGAUGCACCAACCUGCCAGCCUGGCUCACACCAGCUUCAAACCCCGCACAGGCAUCCUGAGUGUGUCUCAAGAAGAUCCUUAUUUCUUUACAAAUUCUGGAGGUCACUGUGUUGCAAGCUUGUUUUCACCUCUCCAGUCUCAAAAAUGCUCAUGAAAUACUCUUGAGGUUUUCUGAGAAAAGAGGUUUCGGGUGAGCAAAGCAGGACCCCAAAGGACCAAAUUUUUUUAUCCUGGUUUACCCAAUCUCUCAGGAAGCCAGCAAAAUUGCACUAUAAACCUGUGCUAUAUUAUUAUGCAAACCACAAAUUAAGAGAUAUAUGUUUUUCAGCGCUGCACGACAUUGCAGCUUUUGAUUUCCACAGGAAAACAUAAACCUUUUCACAGCCUCAUCAAAACUGGCAGUUAUGUACUGCAAAAUUGUAUUCUUGGCAAUUUUUGAGCUGUGGAGUGAAGUGCUCAAUAAGUGGUGUGGCCACUGCUCCCCUCAUCACAUGCAGCUGUCUUCCUUCCUCUUCUCCCUGCUCCCCAAGGGAAGGUGCCCUUUCCUUGCAGUGGAGCUGCAGCAGAAAAGGAGCGGGAGCCAGAGCCAGUGGGAUGGAGGGAGAAAGGGCUGAGCAGAGCAAGACAGGCUCCUGUGUGCCAUUUCUGUGUCACCUUCCUCUGUCUGCCCGCUCCGAGGACAGUCAGCAGCAGCCAUGGCCAUGGUCCCCAUCUCUGGGCAUGGCCACAGGGUCAGUGCAGCCCCCAGAAAGGGGGUCAGUGGGAGCUCCAGGGUUUGCUCACCCAAGAAAGGGCUGCACCAGGGUGGGGAUCCCCAAGUGCAGGGGACUGAUGAGGACUUCACUUGAGCAGGGCACCCAUUUUUAAAAUCCACAUUUUUUCUUUUGCCCUCAGUUCUGCUAUCUCAUUGAAAGAGCCCUGCCCAGCUUCCCUGACUUCCCUGCACAGUCAAUUUCUUCACAUCUUUGUGUUUGUUAUGCUCCUAGUGUUUGUCUCAGUGGCCAAGCUCUCAGCCACCUGCCCAUCUCUUCCUAAUUCAUUUCUUGUCCUAGCUGGCUGUUCUAGAAUUUUACCUUCUAGACGCUGGGGAGAAUCCAGGGAGGCAAAGUCAUGCAACUGCUUUUAGUUUGCAUAGCAGGACAGAGAAGUGAGAAACAGCAAAGUCAGGGUGACUUUCGUUCAAGUAGGGUGAUGACAUUGGGCCAGAUUUAGCAAUGUGACAGAUCCAGGCUGUGCAUCCCAGGCUCUGCCUUGCAGGAGUGCUCGCCUGCGCUUACAAUGGGGCUGCUGCCCCAGCCAAAACCCAGGCAAAACUGAGGUGCUUGCAGAUUUUAAAUCAACAGAGUCAGAGGCUGGCAGAGAUGUCAGAUGCCCAUGACUAAAUAAGUUAGCCAUGAUAAGCAGGCUCACAGGCCCAGGAAGCAGCUGAGCCUCAUGGCAGCGGGGUUUCACCCCUAUCCCUGGCACGUGGUUGGUGACAGGGUGGGCUGGAUAAGCCUCCGGUUCACAGGAGCAGGACACUCCAAACCCACCCAUGGUGGGGCUGGAGGCUGCAUGGUCUGGAUUGGAUCCAAAGGUGAUGAGAGAGGAAGGAUAAUGAAAAGACUGAUACCACACUCCCCCUCCAAAGGCUGGAGAGCCCUUCAGCUGCAGAGGGAGAAGAAUCUGCAGCUGACACUGGACAGGAAGGGAUUUUACUGUGAACCAAAACCUGAUUUCACUCAUGCACACCAACACAUCCAUGCCCACACACUUCCAAGCACCAAGACCCUCCUGUCCAUCUGGCCUGGCCAGGAUUUUCCACAGAGCCUGGUAGGACUGGGAUCACAGGCUGUCUGGUCCUCACCGUUCCCUCCAGCUACAUGGCCAACCUUGGCCUAUUGACUUCCUACUAGGCAUGUCUCAAAGGCAAAAAACAAGCCAAGCAAGGGCAAAUAAAAAAAGGAGAUAAAGCUAACACAUUUGCAUGAGAAGAAAGCAAGAAAAGGCAAAAAAGAAUGCCAGUAAACAGCCUUCUGCUCUUUUCCACAGCCCUCGGUGCGUAAAUACCAGUGCAACAAUGCAACAAGUGCUGUGGAUGAAAUGGAGAAGGCUGCAGUUUGGAUGCCAUCUGUAACAAAUCAGCAUGUAAAGUGUCAUCUGUUAAUAUCAACAGUUUCAAUUCAUCAGGCCCACACUGAGAGCAUUAAUGGACUUAACUGAGGGUCUUAUUGAGCUGCUGAUGGCAAUUUUUAAUAGAGCUAGGAAAACUGGGGUAAUUCCAAAGAACUGAGAACAGAAAUCACCUUGAUCAUUAAGAAAAUAAACCAGUUGGCCCAGAAAACUCUAGAUUACUGAUAAUACAGGAAAAAAAAAGAAGAAAUAAUUUUGAUUCUAUCAGGAGAGAAUUAAAUACUGAAAAAUGCAUUUAGUACUGAUAGCCUUGUCUCAGGGAAGGCAGGUAUUGCUAUGCAAACUUAUCAGUAUCUGCAACACAAUUACAUGUCUGGCUGAUUCAGAUCAACACCGCUGGUAUGAUAUCCUCACUUGGAAGCUGGCAGGAGAUAAUGAUAACAGUAUUUGCAUAAAUCACGAUAUUGCUGCAAAGAGGGAUGGAACAAUUGGUGUUCCCUGUCCACAAAAGAAGGAAGUUCUUAGCUGCUGAUGAUGGUCUUUCCCAGUCUACUUUUUGUGUUGCCCCUGAAUAUUUAUCUCAGGCCUGUUUGUAUUCCUGCAUUGCACCAGAGGGAUCAAUAGCAAAGGUGUGUUUGUUAGCCAAGGCUAUAUUGCCGAGGACCUUCGCGGGGGGGGAUCCCCAGGGGUCGGUACAAGGCCCACAGUGAUAAGAAAUGUUUACUAGGAAAAAUUUGGGAUAAUGCUAAACUUGGUGGGGUAGUAGCUAGUGAAGAGGAUGAUUAACUCUCAGGGAUGGUUUAGAAUUCCCCGAUUAAAAGGCUACAUUGUAGCAAAAUUUGCUUUAAGUAAUUCAUUUGAGAAUUUGUAGGAAGGGGCAGUCUUGUCAUUUAUUACUCUGCACACCCACUUGCCACCCUCACACUUUAUCAGCGGCGGUCUGGGAUUCACUUCAACACCAUUGAUUAAACCAUCGAAGCCGGCAGUGCUUGGCAUGGAUCUCUGCAGAAGCCCAGCAGCUCCUGGCUGAUGAUUCACUGUUGCCAACCAGCAUUUUGGUUCCCCAGGUUGCCUCGCUAGGCACCACACUGACAGUGCUGCUCACUUCCCAGGACACCCUCCUCACAGCAAGCCAGUUACAUCCCUGCCUUUUCUCCUGAGCAGACCUAUCAUCUUGAAAACUGAAACCAUGCUUGUUUGGCAAGAAGGUCUUCCAUGCUAAUCAGCACCUGUUAAGGAUGCUGAGGGUGCCCCAACAUAUGCAGGAGUCCUUGGUGCCUGGCUCUUGCCAGACUUUGCAUCCUCCUGCCUGGGAGGUGGUAAAGCCCCUCCUGGCUGUGUCCAAUUAUGGGCUAUUAAGUGGCAGAAUGAGAACCACACUGUCCAAGCCACGCCAUCUCAGGGAAGGGCACAGCAGCCCCAAUGUGCACAGGGUGCCUGUAGAUGCCUUGUCCUAAUGAGGAGAGGCCUGGAAACUUGGCAGACUGGGGCUCCUAAGAUCUUGCAACAGAGAAAUUCUGCCAAAUAGCUGUUAUUUCACAUGCGCAGCUUCUCAUCAUCUGACUUAACUCUGCUAGGAAGCUCUCAGAUAUGUGUUUGAGCCAGGCAUCCUCAAGAUGCCCAUUGAACACAAGCUCUCAGCCCAGUAACCUGAGGCCGUUGACUCCCAGCACUCAGGCUCUGGGAGGAGCAGGGAGGACAGCCCUGGUUUCGCAAUACUGCACUCUCUCUGCACACAAACAGCUCUGGGCAGGAGCACCCUGGGAGCCAUUACCCAGCUGAGUUAUUAAAUGCAUCUUUUAUCGCAUUAACUGUUUCCCUCUGACAUCCACCAGCGCUUGGCCAGAUGCCAGCACCUCCUUUCCACUUUUAACAGCCCUACAGCAAUCCCCUAGACUCCAGCCUAGUUUCUCCAUGUGCAGCUCUGAUCUUGGUGUGCCCUCAGGCCAACAAGCUGUUUGCAUUCAAUACCACCAACUUCCAUGUGC